rnacentral:lncRNA from 1 species
UAUAUAGUCAUCACUCCCAACCUGGCCAGUGUGUUGGGUACAGUUAUAUAGUCAAUCACUCCAACCUGGCCGUUUGGUUGGGUAAGUUAUAUAGUCAUCACUCCAACCUGGCCAGUGUGGUUGGGUAAGUUAUAUAGUCAUCACUCCAACCUGGCCAGUGUUGUUGGGUAAGUUAUAUAGUCAUCACUUCAACCUGGCCAGUGUUGUUGGGUAAGUUAUGUAAUCAUCAUUCCCAACCUGGCCAGUGUGGUUGGGGUAGUUAAUCUCUCAUCACUGCCAAA